GCGUCUAUAAGCUGGUGGAGGACACGAAGCAUCGGCCCAAAGAAAACCUGGAGCUCAUCCUGACGCAGUCGGUGGAGAAUGUUGGAGUCCGGGGUGACCUGGUCUCAGUGAAGAAAUCUUUAGGCCGGAAUCGACUCCUUCCUCAGGGACUGGCUGUAUAUGCAUCCCCUGAAAACAAGAAGCUGUUUGAAGAGGAGAAAUUGCUGAGACAAGAAGGAAAAUUAGAGAAGAUCCAGACCAAGGCAGGUGAGGCGGUCUCCUGAUUGCAGACCCAAGAGUGGGAGAAAGGGGAAGUGUUGUGGCUGCCCCACAAAACAGACAGUGAAAUUUCUAAAAAGCUGUCGCCUGGAGGUAGGGAUGAAGA
rnacentral:lncRNA from 1 species